rnacentral:rRNA from 1 species
AACGAACGCUGGCGGCAGGCUUAACACAUGCAAGUCGAGCGCCUCGCAAGAGGAGCGGCAGACGGGUGAGUAACGCGUGGGAACGUACCCUUAUCUUCGGAAUAGCUCUGGGAAACUGGAAGUAAUACCGAAUGUGCCCUUAGGGGGAAAGAUUUAUCGGAUAAGGAUCGGCCCGCGUUGGAUUAGCUAGUUGGUGGGGUAAAGGCCUACCAAGGCGACGAUCCAUAGCUGGUCUGAGAGGAUGAUCAGCCACAUUGGGACUGAGACACGGCCCAAACUCCUACGGGAGGCAGCAGUGGGGAAUAUUGGACAAUGGGCGCAAGCCUGAUCCAGCCAUGCCGCGUGAGUGAUGAAGGCCUUAGGGUUGUAAAGCUCUUUCACCGGAGAAGAUAAUGACGGUAUCCGGAGAAGAAGCUCCGGCUAACUUCGUG